CUUUUCCUUUCUAUUUUCUUUUCCUAGCAUUUCCCCUCAAAAUUUCUAGGAACCAAACAUAGCUUAAGAUUUUACAAUGAGAGUUGCAGGAGAGGUGUUAUAUAAGAGAUGGCAAAGGAAGUCCUUCGAUAGCUUCAAAGCAAUACAAGUGGCCAGUCGACUUAUCAAUGUACCAUUUAGGCGUAUAAUUUUGAUAUUUCUAGAAGAAGACUAUGGUAACAGACUGAUGAAAUGUUCUUCUGGACAAUCAAGAACUGAUUUUGUAGUUGAUCCCCAGGUUGUGUUUCUGUGCUGAAUCCUAGAUUCAUUCUUGUUUUUAAACGAUAAUGAAAUUUAGUGUAAAAGUGAUGAUGGAUGAAACUGGCAUGGAUUA